rnacentral:lncRNA from 1 species
CGCCGAGGUUAUACCCGACCACUCCUUAAAUGUUUGACGCCCGACCAAGCUUCAUAUGUCGUCCGAGAGUUGCACGAAGGAAUUUGCGGAACUCACUCUGACGCACGCACAAUGGCAGCCAAAGUAUUCCGAGCCGGAUACUACUGGCCGACCGUCCAAGGCGAUUGCACCAGUUUCGUCCAAAAAUGUCUUAAAUGCCAAGAGUUUGGCACGUUGUCCCACCAAAA